UACGUAGGGUGCGAGCGUUAAUCGGAAUUACUGGGCAUAAAGCGUGCGCAGGCGGUUUUGUAAGCCGGAUGUGAAAUCCCCGGGCUUAACCUGGGAAUGGCAUUCGGGACUGCAAGGCUGGAGUGCGGCAGAGGAGACUGGAAUUCCUGGUGUAGCAGUGAAAUGCGUAGAUAUCAGGAGGAACACCGAUGGCGAAGGCAGGUCUCUGGGCAUGUCCUGACGCUGAGGAGCGAAAGUGUGGGGAGCGAACAGG
rnacentral:rRNA from 1 species